GAUGAACGCUGGCGGCGUGCCUAAUACAUGCCAGUCGAGCGAACGGACGAGAAGCUUGCUUCUCUGAUGUUAGCGGCGGACGGGUGAGUAACACGUGGAUAACCUACCUAUAAGACUGGGAUAACUUCGGGAAACCGUAGCUAAUACUGGAUAAUAUUUUGUACCGCAUGGUUCAAAAGUGAAAGACGGUCUUGCUGUCACUUAUAGAUGGAUCCGCGCUGCAUUAGCUAGUUGGUAGGGUAACGGCUUACCAAGGCAACGAUGCAUAGCCGACCUGAGAGGGUGAUCGGCCACACUGGAACUGAGACACGGUCCAGACUCCUACGGGAGGCAGCAGUAGGGAAUCUUCCGCAAUGGGCGAAAGCCUGACGGAGCAACGCCGCGUGAGUGAUGAAGGUCUUCGGAUCGUAAAACUCUGUUAUUAGGGAAGAACAUAUGUGUAAGUAACUGUGCACAUCUUGACGGUACCUAAUCAGAAAGCCACGGCUAACUACGUG
rnacentral:rRNA from 1 species